rnacentral:rRNA from 1 species
AACGAACGCUGGCGGCAUGCCUAACACAUGCAAGUCGAACGAGAACUUCGGGUCUAGUGGCGCACGGGUGCGUAACGCGAGGGAACCUGCCCUUAGGUUCGGCCUACCUCCCCGACAGGGGUGCUAAUACCGGAUCAUGUCUUCGGACCGAAGAUAUAUCGCCUUUGGAUGGGCCCGCGUUGGAUUAGCUAGUUGGUAGGGUAAAAGCCUACCAAGGCGACGAUCCAUAGCUGGUCUGAGAGGAUGAUCAGCCACACUGGGACUGAGACACGGCCCAGACUCCUACGGGAGGCAGGAGUGGGGAAUAUUGGACAAUGGGCGAAAGCCUGAUCCAGCAAUGCCGCGUGAGUGAUGAAGGUCUUAGGGUUGUAAAGCUCUUUUAACCGGGAUGAUAAUGACAGUACCGGGAGAAUAAGCUCCGGCUAACUCCGUG